rnacentral:misc_RNA from 1 species
AAUCCGAGAAUUUCACCUCUGACAAUUAAAUACGAAUGCCCCCAACUGUCCCUAUUAAUCAUUACUCUGAACUCAAACCAACAAAUAGUUCAAAGUCCUAUUCCAUUAUUCCAUGCUGGAGUAUCCAAGCGAUUGCCUGCCUGGAGCACUCUAAUUUUUUCACAGUAAAAUGUAGGUUCCACACGCCGCCCAUUGAAGUGCGCACGUGAUUCCCCUACGGAUGACCAAGCCCAACCGACCGACUACAGCCAAGCCGGGGACUGGCCAGAAAAUCAACUACGAGCUUUUUAACUGCAACAACUUUAAUAUACGCUAUUGGAGCUGGAAUUACCGCG